UCAAUAUUGCAGUGUAAACACAUUUUCCUCUGAAUAGAGUAGUUAUAACAAUAGGCAGAGUAAACUCCUCCAAAUGGUAGUGUCAAAAGUGAGAGUAAAAAAGUGAGUGUCAACAUUUCAGUGUAAAUCUAUUUUUCUCUUGAUAGAGAGGUUAUAACAAAAGGCAGAGUAACUCCUCAGACAAAAUAACUCUGCAGGGUGAUGAUUCCCCGCGAAAAUUCUAGAACCGGAGCUGGAGCUGGCAUGGCAUGUUGGAAGUAGUUUCUCUCCCUGCGUGAAAAUGCUGUUGCGUGUCUCAUUUGGUGGAGUGCAGAAGUACAUAAAGAUGCUUGAACUGACGUUUGAUGAUUUCUUGAGAGAAGUGAGUUUGAAGUUCAACAUCCCCGAAGACAGAUGGUUGGACCUCAAAGUUUAUGACCAGUCUAACACAGAGGUAGACGCCGAAGUUUUUGAGGAGCUCGUAAAAGAGUUCCAUGGACCUUUCCUAGUUUCAUUGGCCAAUGAAGCACCUGGUAAGUGUUGCCUACUUGCAUAUGAUUUACACAUACAUCAUUUAGGUGGAAGUGUUGAACUAUGUAAGCCACUGCUUAGAAGCCAUUGUUUAACACUUUUUUAUGUAUCUUAUUUUUUUUUUUUGCUACAUUUUAUUUGACCAUGUGUUGGACAAUGCUGUUGCAACUGUACACUGCACCUAGAUAUCUUUGUUUAUUAUCUAAAUUUUGCUACUAAUUACUUGUAUACUGCUGUACUCUGUGCCAACCCCUUACUCUGUACUUGCUUGAAUUUCCUCCUUGUAGGUCGCUCUGUUCAAAGGCAUCAGCUAUGUAAUGUAAUGUAAUGUAAUGUAAUUGUGUUAAUAUUUUCCAAUGCUCAGGUAACCCUCAGUUCACAUCAUCUCCAGGGUCUACUGCAUCUGACGACACAGUGAUCCUCAACUUCUCCCUGCUUGAGCCAGCUGAGGAACCCCUUGAGCCAGCUGAGGAACCCCUUGAGCCAGCUGAGGAACCCGUU